CCUACGGGGGGCAGCAGUGAGGAAUAUUGGUCAAUGGACGAGAGUCUGAACCAGCCAAGUAGCGUGAAGGAUGACUGCCCUAUGGGUUGUAAACUUCUUUUAUAUGGGAAUAAAACAGGGUAUGCAUACCCUCUUGUAUGUACCAUAUGAAUAAGGAUCGGCUAACUCCGUGCCAGCAGCCGCGGUAAUACGGAGGAUCCGAGCGUUAUCCGGAUUUAUUGGGUUUAAAGGGAGCGUAGGUGGAUUGUUAAGUCAGUUGUGAAAGUUUGCGGGUCAACCGUAAAAGUGAAGUUGAAACUGGCAGAAGGGAGGGGGGGAGAGGAUGGUGGAACGCGUGGUGUAGCGGUGAAAUGCGUAGAGA
rnacentral:rRNA from 1 species